ensembl:lncRNA
CUUUGUUGUGUGCAUGAAAGCGGAGCAUCUUAAAUAAUCUUGAGUUCAAGAGCUGUGGCUUCAAAACCCCAACAUGUCAUAUGACCGGGGGAAAAAAUAUGGUGUGAGCUUCCAGAGCAGCUCUCCCCAUCCCAGCAUCUCCCAGCCCACUCCCAGCCAGAACUUACUAUCAUAUGCAAUGUGGCUGCAGCUCUGGGUGAGGACCUUCACACUCAGGAAUGGAGGGGAAAAACCCCAUUGGGGUCGGCCUGAAUGAGAGAAAGCAGAGGGCUGGGAGGUUUGGGGAGUAUGGUUUGGCUGAUUUAUUGCUGGGAGGAGAGAGUGGAGCUGAUGGUGAGCAGAGGGCCCACAGGUCAGCACGAAACGCCCGCAGAGCCCUUCCCAUCCAGCACUGUGUGAUCAUUUUGUGCCUCUUCUUUCAGAAAUGGGGACAAAAUGAGCCGUGCUGGGUCAGCCUGCAGUCACCAUUCCAUUUGUCACCACGGCUGCUCGGAUUUGAACUGAUGCCUCCGCUGCUGAUGGCAGGGCACUGCCCGCCUCCUGGUUGCAAGCACACCAAUGGCAACAGAAAAACAGCCCCUCCUCAGCGUGGUGGGAUAAUAUUUCAUAGCAUUGCCAAAAUGGACCUCGGCCAUUUAUUUUGACAGCUGUAGCUUUAAUUAUUAACGCGCCGAUUUUACAGUGUGCUGGUAAAUGGACUGCAAGGUGUUUCAUAAAAUAGGAAUGAAGCCUCAUCGUGGGCUCGCUGUAAUAAAGCAGGAGGGAGGAAUGGGGGAAGGCAGUACCAAGGGACCCCUACCAGCAAGGAGGUCACGAGGAGAAGCUCUUCCUUUGGGAAACCUUGAGAGAUGUCACCACGCUGAUCAAAACUUGCAGGUGGGACACAGAUUUGUUAUUUUCCAAGGGAACAGACUGAGAACCAACCAUCGACCCAUCCAGUCCAACCAUCAACCCAUCCAGUCCGACCAUCAACCCAUCCAGACCAACCAUCAACCCAUCCAGUCUGACCAUCAACCCAUCACCACCGUGCCCACUCCCAUGUCCCCCAGUGCCACGUUACUCGGUGGUUCACUGCAGGAUGGAGGGGAGCUGUGAGCAGGACAAGCAGUGCUGUUCCACGCCUCCACAGUUCCAAUCCCAUCCCACUCACCAGACAGGGAAAGAACAUCUCCGCCCUUCAGAGAACGGCGAUGUCUCAGUCUUUGCUUUCCUUGGGAAUGGAGAUGAAAGCCACAGUUUCCACAGAGAGGAAGCUGCACAGACACACACACACACCGGGAUUUAGAAAGACGAAAAGCUUUCAGCCGACCGACAUUUGCUGUGUUGCUGAAAUGCUCCCCUGGAAUUGCAGCUUGGAUGUACUGUGCCUUCGUGCCCCUCCACGGAGCAGAUGGCUUUGCUAUGGGAACUGAACAUUUCAUCAGAACUAGAUUUAAUGGGAAAAUAUUCCUGGUUCUGGCUGUGAAUGGGAAAAUAUUCCUGGUUCUGGUUGUGAACUUGAGGAUCAUUUCGCAUCUCUGCUGCAGUUCUCCGUUUUCCAUAGGAGGAGAACAACAGCAGCCCACCUCGUUGCAGCUCUUGAAGAGAAAUUGCUGGAGAACUUUAACUAAAAGCUCACUGCUACAGCAGGGAGUGUUCGGGGUCUCCCCGUUCCCUGCGAGGCUGGGUUUGCUCUGUAACUGAGGCGUGAUUAAUCGGUGCCCAUCGCGGAGGCUGUCCCAGGGAUGCUGCAAUCAUUCCUCCAGUAUUAAUCCGAGGGGACCCAUCACUUCAGAGCAGCACCUCAGCUAAAGCAGAUGGAUUUGGGGCAAGAGCCCUUCAGUAGUGCUCAGCACACUGAAGCCUAAUGCAGGCUGCACUAUAGCAGGUUGGAACCCCUCUGGGCACUCCGCAGUCCCACACCGCAUUCACUGACACUGACUGAUGAGAGCUGGCCAGCAGAACGUGCCGAAGAGCUGGGUGGGUCCAUAGGGUGAGAUGAUGUAAAGCACUGCCUAUGGCAAGGGGCAGGGCCCGUGCUGACCUUCAUGCUGGCAAAGGCUGGCAGAAAUCAUAGAAAAACUCAAGCUGGAAGAGACCCAUAGGGAUCGUGGAGUCCAACUCGUGGUUGAAUGAAUUUGCCCUCUGCGCUUUCCUAUCUCCAACCCAACGGGGCUUCCAACGAGAUGUGCUUUACUCUGUGCUGAAUAGGAGCAGCCACGCAUAAGGGCUCUCUGACCACACACACUACACGUUUUUGGGAGGUGGUCAAAGAAGUGGAGUGAAAAACAGUGCUGCAAAACCCCCACGGCUGGCACCUUGUUAUUUGUAUUCUGCGUGCAAGUUUCCUCUGUUUGCACGCAUUUACAUUAAAGUUUAAUAAGCCUCAUUGAAGUAUUUUCAGGUUCUGCAGAAAAACAAAAUGCCAAAGGAAGCCUCAGACUCCGGGUUCCUAAUGUCCUUGCUCAGACUUCAGCUUUUGAGAUGGCACAUCAAAAAGGAACAUCGUGAAGCUGCUAUUAUUACUAAUGUCUUCCCCAUUAUCUGAGUUGCAGGGAACAAUUAAAUGGCAUCAAUGACGUGCUGCUACGCUUGGGUACACCGCCAGGCUGCAGCGUGAUUCACCUCCUCUCUGCUCCUGCUCUUCCCCACCUGCUCCUUGUCAGCAGGCAGAGCACUGCAGCUCUGCUUGCAGUGAAACUCAAAGCAAACUUCAAAUGUUUGGAACUCCUUUCAGAAGGAUAAAAGAAAACGUGUGCUGAAAGCGUCACCUCCUGGGGGAAUUUGCCCCCUAACAGCAGCAGCCCC